rnacentral:tRNA from 5 species
AGCUCAGUUGGUUAGAGCACAUCACUCAUAAUGAUGGGGUCACAGGUUCGAAUCCCGUC